rnacentral:tRNA from 1 species
GCUCAUGUAGCUCAAUUGGUUAAAGCGUCCCGCUUACUAAGCGGAGGUCUUGAGUUCGACUCUCAACUAGAACA